GAACAUAGUCGGUCGUCGUCAGAUACAUGAUGUCGGGACGAAACUCCCUGAGCAGCUUGAC
rnacentral:sRNA from 1 species